GUUAUCUUAACAGUCUGCAACAAUAUACUGAGAGAAGCACUAACGAAACUGCAUUUCUCUGUCAUGCUGUGCCAGCUGUAGUAUGUGGGAAACCUUGUCUCUCCCAAGUACCUUCUGUCUCUGGCAGCUCCAUGUAAACUUCAGGAAUGAAAGAAGUUGGAAGAGGAAACAUUAGGAAUUUCCUUUCAAACUCCAAUCAAAACAGCCCAUUUGAAUAUUUUUUUAAAAAAAUUCCAAAAAUUCUUCCUGUGAGGAUGCAUUGGCUAAAGCAGGUCAAAGUUGCUGAAGAGGACUAAGCGAGCCUCUUGGGGAAGAUGAUAUCAUCUGAUCUGUACACAUGUCACAUUCAGAACAUUCUGCAUGGCUGCUGCUGAGCUCCCAUCUGUCAGAUCUCAACAGAGAGAACAAAGACUAGAGAUGUGAGUAAUUCAAGAAACA
rnacentral:lncRNA from 1 species